CAUGGGAGUGGGUUGCAAAAGAAGUAGGUAGCUUAACCUUCGGGAGGGCGCUUACCACUUUGUGAUUCAUAACUGGGGUGAAGUCGUAACAAGGUAACCGUAGGGGAACCUGCGGUUGGAUCACCUCCUUACCUUAAAGAA
rnacentral:rRNA from 1 species